rnacentral:rRNA from 1 species
UACGGGGGGGGCAAGCGUUGUUCGGAAUUACUGGGCGUAAAGGGCUCGUAGGGGGCCAACUAAGUCAGACGUGAAAUCCCUCGGCUUAACCGGGGAACUGCGUCUGAUACUGGAUGGCUUGAGUUUGGGAGAGGGAUGCGGAAUUCCAGGUGUAGCGGUGAAAUGCGUAGAUAUCUGGAGGAACACCGGUGGCGAAGGCGGCAUCCUGGACCGGUAUUGACGCUGAGGCGCGAAAGCUAGGGGAGCAAACGGG